CACUCUUUUUUAUCUUUCUACUACCAUUGCCUCAAAUAAUGUUACAUAAAUUCAUUUUUAUCUCAAUUAAACCAUGUCUUUCUUCUAUUUCUUAAAUUUUACUAGCCAUAGGAACCUAAGAGAAAUAAAAGUAAUUACAUUUCUACAUGUGCAGACCAUGAGAAUUGGUUACACUAUUUCAACCUUUCUCUUUGUUGCCAAGCCCGUCCUACUGAAGCCACUUUUCUCAUCCUCAACUCUGACUUUCAGUACUCUGUGGAGCAAAUUCUGCCAGCACCUUGCAAUAGAUCUUGUUUCCCAUGAAUACUUUUCAUCUGAGAGGCCAACACUUUUAUCAAAUAAUCCAGCCAAUAGAAAACAAUCCUGA
rnacentral:lncRNA from 1 species